AACACUUUUUGUUUUGACAUUUGACCUUUCUAAGUUACUUUUUUUUUUUGUCGUCUGAAAAUUUAUUAUAGAGAUUCCGGUGAAAUACAAAAGUGAAAUAUAAAGCCGGCGGUUAACAAGUAACACCAGAAAACUAAGCCGACGAUUAAAAGGAUAGUCUUGGAAGCAAAACCCAAAGGAAAGGGAGACAACAAGGCAAAACAAACCUUACAAACAAAGCAAAGUUGCGAAACUGAAACAAAGAAGCAGACCAAAACAACCAAAAUUUUAAACACAACAUCUCGUCAACCACAUUACCAGACAAAGGAAAGGCAGAGCUUUACAACAAGCCACUCCGUAGGAGACAAGGAACUCCCAACCAAACGGACAGCGGUGCCACCUAUUACGAUGAAGACUACCUUACAUAGAAGAGUUCCAAGGAAUCCAUACCGGCGAGAAGAACUAGGCCAAAGACGACAAGUCACACCUACACUCCCGGAAUCGGCGAAUUAAAGAAUAUGAUUGUUUAGCGCCUCGAAGGAAACCAGCCAAUGAACAGAUGAGAUCUCGAUCAGAUCUUUAGAGUAGAGACAAGGAGAGAACCAAAUCAAUUCGGACCACACCGA
rnacentral:sRNA from 1 species